CCACCCCAGUAGCCUAAUGGUUAGAGCAUCUGUCUCAGAUGCGGGAGGUCAUGGGUUCAACCCCUGGUCUGGUAGA